rnacentral:tRNA from 1 species
GAGGGUAUAACUCAGUGGCAGUGGCAGAGUGCAUGCCUUGCAUGCAUGAGGUUCUAGGUUCAACCCCCAGUACCUUGA